rnacentral:rRNA from 1 species
GACGAACGCUGGCGGCGUGCCUAACACAUGCAAGUUGAGCGACGAACCAGGGCUUGCCCUGGGGCAAAGCAGCGAACGGGUGAGUAACACGUGGGUAACCUACCCCGAUAACCGGGACAACCCGAGGAAACUCGGGCUAAUACCGGAUGUGCUCACUGGACUUCGGUUCAGUGCGUAAAGGAAGCUUCGGCCUCCGUAUCGGGAGGGGCCCGCGGCCCAUUAGUUUGUUGGUGAGGUAACGGCUCACCAAGACCACGAUGGGUAGCUGGUCUGAGAGGACGAUCAGCCACACUGGGACUGAGACACGGCCCAGACUCCUACGGGAGGCAGCAGUGGGGAAUCUUGCGCAAUGCGCGAAAGCGUGACGCAGCAACGCCGCGUGGGGGAAGAAGGCCUUCGGGUUGUAAACCCCUUUCAGGAGGGACGAAGGUUCGGCGGUGAAUAGCCGUCCGGACUGACGGUACCUCCACAAGAAGCCCCGGCUAACUACGUG